rnacentral:rRNA from 1 species
AACGAACGCUGGCGGCAUGCCUAACACAUGCAAGUCGAACGAGACCUUCGGGUCUAGUGGCGCACGGGUGCGUAACGCGUGGGAACCUGCCUUUAGGUUCGGAAUAACUCAGAGAAAUUUGAGCUAAUACCGGAUGAUGUCUUCGGACCAAAGAUUUAUCGCCUUAGAUGGGCCCGCGUUGGAUUAGCUAGUUGGUGGGGUAAAGGCCUACCAAGGCGACGAUCCAUAGCUGGUCUGAGAGGAUGAUCAGCCACACUGGGACUGAGACACGGCCCAGACUCCUACGGGAGGCAGCAGUGGGGAAUAUUGGACAAUGGGCGAAAGCCUGAUCCAGCAAUGCCGCGUGAGUGAUGAAGGCCUUAGGGUUGUAAAGCUCUUUUACCCGAGAUGAUAAUGACAGUAUCGGGAGAAUAAGCUCCGGCUAACUCCGUG